rnacentral:tRNA from 1 species
UCCCUGGUGGUCCAGUGGCUAAGACGCUGCACUUCCAAUUCAGGGGGCCUGGGUUUGAUCCCUGAUCAGGGAA